rnacentral:rRNA from 1 species
UACGUAGGGUGCAAGCGUUGUCCGGAAUUAUUGGGCGUAAAGAGCUCGUAGGCGGUUUUGUCGCGUCUGCUGUGAAAACCCCGAGGCUCAACCUCGGGCCUGCAGUGGGUACGGGCAGACUAGAGUGCGGUAGGGGAGAUUGGAAUUCCUGGUGUAGCGGUGAAAAUGCGCAGAUAUCAGGAGGAACACCGAUGGCGAAGGCAGGUCUCUGGGCAUUAACUGACGCUGAGGAGCGAAAAGCAUGGGGAGCGAACAGG